rnacentral:rRNA from 1 species
CAGCAGCCGCGGUAAUACGGAGGGUCCGAGCGUUAUCCGGAAUCAUUGGGUUUAAAGGGUCCGCAGGCGGGCAAUUAAGUCAGGGGUGAAAUGCUGCAGCUCAACUGUAGCACUGCCCUUGAUACUGGUUGUCUUGAGUUAUAGUGGAGUGGCUGGAAUAUGUAGUGUAGCGGUGAAAUGCAUAGAUAUUACAUAGAACACCAAUCGCGAAGGCAGGUCACUAACUAUUAACUGACGCUGAUGGACGAAAGCGUGGGGAGCGAACGGGAUUAGAUACCCCGGUAGUCCACGCCGUAAACGAUGGAUACUAGCUGUUGGGUUUUCGGACUCGGUGGCCAAGCGAAAGUGAUAAGUAUCCCACCUGGGGAGUACGUUCGCAAGAAUGAAACUCAAAGGAAUUGACGGGGGCCCGCACAAGCGGUGGAGCAUGUGGUUUAAUUCGAUGAUACGCGAGGAACCUUACCAGGGCUUAAAUGUAGUGGGACAGGCUUAGAGAUAGGCUUUUCUUCGGACUCAUUACAAGGUGCUGCAUGGUUGUCGUCAGCUCGUGCCGUGAGGUGUCAGGUUAAGUCCUAUAACGAGCGCAACCCCUGCCGUUAGUUGCCAGCAAGUAAAGUUGGGGACUCUAACGGGACUGCCGGUGCAAACCGUGAGGAAGGUGGGGAUGACGUCAAAUCAUCACGGCCCUUACGUCCUGGGCUACACACGUGCUACAAUGGCCGGUACAAUGAGCAGCCACUGCGCAAGCAGGAGCGAAUCUAUAAAACCGGUCACAGUUCGGAUCGGGGUCUGCAACUCGACCCCGUGAAGCUGGAAUCGCUAGUAAUCGGAUAUCAGCCAUGAUCCGGUGAAUACGUUCCCGGGCCUUGUACACACCGCCCGUCAAGCCAUGGAAGCCGGGGGUACCUGAAGUCUGUCACCGCAAGGAGCGGCCUAGGGUAAGACCGGUAACUAGGGCUAAGUCGUAACAAGGUAACCGUA